rnacentral:pre_miRNA from 1 species
UGGACAAAUUAUUGUAUUCGACUGUAUUCACGGCGUAAAAUAGGGGAUUAUACUGAUUUUAAACGGAAAGUGAAUCAAUUAACAUAAUAGACUCCU